GGGACCCUCCGAGCCAGGUGCGGGAUAUAGUCUCGCGGUGCGCCGUUUUUUAAGCCCGUCGGAAAAGCGCAAUAUUCGGGUGGGAGUGACUCGAUUUUCCAGGUGCCUCCGUCACCCCUUUCUUUGACUCGGAAAGGGAACUCCCUGACCCCUUGCGCUUCCCAAGUGAGGCAAUGCCUCACCCUGCUUCGGCUCGCCCCUGGUGCGCGCACCCACUGACCUGCGCCCACUGUCUGGCACUCCCUAGUGAGAUGAACCCGGUACCUCAGAUGGAAAUGCAGAAAUCACCCGUCUUCUGCGUCGCUCACGCUGGGAGCUGUAGACCGGAGCUGUUCCUAUUCGGCCAUCUUGGCUCCUCCACCAGAAAUGAUGUAGCUUCUAUCAGGAAUCUGGUAGCAAUGCAAAGCUAAGAGAAGUUAGAACACUUGAAAUUAGCUAAGCGAGAAUGCCAUCAGCAGUGCAUCGAUCUCAGCUGCAUCCAGGUGUAUCAGUUGAAUGGCAGAGGGACUAGAAAUUACAUUUCACGAAGAAAAUUUACAGAACUAAAGAUAUUUAGGCUGCAAAAGAAAAGACUAAGGCACUGUGCUAAGUUGGACUUACAGAGAUGAAUAAGAUUUGGCCACAUCUUCAAGGAGCUCAGACCUUCAUGGACGUACCAAAUAUAUACAGAACUAACUCUACUGCUUAUCAUAAUGAGAGCUGUGCUAUGGAUAUUUGAAAGUUAGAGAGAUUUAUUUUCAACAGAAUAAUAAAGUCAACUUUCACAAACUGGUGACAGAUGAUCUGGGCCUUGCAGACAGGGGAGGACUGACAGAUUGAGAAGAGUAUUUGGUUAAAAACGGAUCAUAAACUGGUAUAAAUAUCUAAACAAACUCAUGAGAAUGAGCAGAGUCAGACACAAUAAAAUAAUUCAAAGAUAUAUCAGAUAAACCUGGACCCAAAAGUCAUGACUUUUUCUUUUCAGUUAACUCUGAACAAUUUACAAUAACUUCCUCAAUUAUUGUUUGUCUCAUUUUAACAUUUUGUAAUAACACCUAUGUCUCCAUAUUGGUAUGAAGAUUAAAUGAAAAUACAUCUAUGUUAGAUAGUCCCUAAGUUUCUGUCCCUGAUAUAAGUCCACCCUCCCCACCAUCAUGUGAUCACACGCAGGUGCACAUGCACAGAUGUAUACAUGCAUGCCGUUAUGGGGACAGUAAUUGCAAAUAUCAAUACUGUUAUGGUUGUUACUUCAGCCAUUGCACAAGUGUAGACCUCUGGAUCAACACACAUACGUAUGUGUAUGUGUAACAAAUAUAUGGCUAAUAAUGCAUAGGUUUCAUAGCUAUACCUUGAAAUCAAUUUAUUAAAGGGAUGUGUCCUUCCCAUGCUGACUCACCUACUGCGGCCCAAAAGCAACAACGUAAACUGCCCUGGAUAAAACAUCUGCAGACAAGAGAUCUCUAAGCUAAGCUACAGCUUCAUCAAGCAUGGAGUUAUCUCAUUUCAUAGCUUCACACACACAAAGGCGCGCGCACACACACACACACACACACACAGCUCUCAGCUGGAGACCGUCAGGGAAAACAAGUACCAGUGAGACCUGGGGAUCUUCAUUUGAUUUUGUCUACUGGGUGAGGCUGUGUUGAAAACACUUUGACAGAGGGCUCUUCUCUUGGGGCUCAUCAAAUAUUGCUGGUAGAGGGUUUGCUUGCUUUAAAUAUUCCUUUCCUCAGAAAUUCUACAGGUUAUAGGUUUAUAAAUGGAGAACUGGUCUUGGAUUUAAAUGAAUUGGCAUCGUAUCUCAGACUUCUAGCUUUCUACCCAUGUGAAUUUAGGUGCGUACUAAUCACAUAUGUGUUUUAAGUUUAUCACUGGCUAUAUACAUGGUUACUUUUGUAUAUGCCUGUGCAUUGAAUGAAAAUACCUGGCAUGUGGUUGUUAUAAGCAAUAGACAGUUUUUGGCCAGAGAGCCAGGCAGACAAGUGUUAAUAUCACUUAAGCCCUCUGUGUCUCAAGUUCAAAAUUUCUAAAAUGAGUGAAUAUAAUAUUUGUUUGAAUUAAAGUAUACAAAGCAUGUAUCUCAGUGUCUAAGACAUUGUAAGACACCAAUAAAUGUCCAGUAUUUCUGUUGUUGUUGGUAUUUAUUUUUUAUUAAGGGAUUCUUGAAUUAAUACACCAUCCCUAGGGAAUUGCUGCCCUGUUUUCCUCAGCACUGUGAGCUUCUCCACGAACAAGACCGCUGUCUUUUAUGUCUGGGAUAGUUUGUUGAAUGAGU
rnacentral:lncRNA from 1 species